UCCUUGCACCAAGUGUCUGGUUUCUGUUGUGAUUAAUCUAUCGAUGUUUUCCCCCCAAAGUAGCACGAGGGACAGUCCCUAAUGGCUGUUCACAUUAUGUACUCGCGCCGAUAUUCGUAAUUUCUGACCUCACUGACAGUCGUUGAAUAUGCGUGUCGUCUGAUGGGUCACCUCAGCGGCCGAUGGAGAUGAUCGGACAUUCUGAUUGGUCGAUGACAGUAUAAUAAUACUCCAAUGAUUCAUUGUGACAAAACCUUAACAAGGAAUAUACUUGAGAGGAUACACUUUGAAGCCGAUUUCUGCUGACUAUGUGGAGGAGCUUACAGAUUCUGAUAUUUGUGGUUCUAGUGUCCAUGACAUACGCUGUAUACUUUGACGACUCACCAAGCUAUGCUCCGUCGUACGCCCAGAACCCCUGUAUGCUGUGUCUGUUCACGCACAAACGAGAAUACUGCGAGAUUUGUAAAUACGAGGAAGACAAUGGUGACGUGUACACAAACAAAAGAUCAGAUUAUUACCAGAGAAGAAUCAGAGGGCGGGGAUAUUAUUGCCUUUGUUGUGCACGAUCUAGAUUAACAAACUCUGGGUGCUGCACAAUGUGCAGUAGCGAAGUAUAAAAAUGUGUUUAAAAAAAGGUUAUGCAAAUUUCACUUUCCUUUUAAUAUUCGCUUGUACAUUCUUCCUACGCAAAUUCAUGUCAAAUAUAACACAACGUUCUUAACUGCAAUUAAUCUAUAAAAUUGAAAUAUGGUC